rnacentral:misc_RNA from 1 species
GGCUCACAGCUUUGCUAAUUUCAAUAUACAGUAAAUCCUUAUAUUUGGUUUGGGAAAAAAGAUAGAGAGCUGCAUUAGCUUCUACAUAUCUGGUCAAAGAAAAAAAUGCUUGAUCAAGUUACAUUUCAUUAUAUAAUCCUUUUCCAUAAACAGUGUGGUUUACUUAAAUGAAUAUUCAGUUAUUAUGAUCCUUUGCUUAGUAAUUUGUUAUGUUUUUACAAAUUCACAUUAAAUCCUAAUCAUUGGAUAGGAAACACGACCUUAGCUAACUUCUAAAUAUUUGCUCGGAAUACAUUAGCACAAAUUUUUAUAUGCAUUUGCUACUACUGUAAGCUUAUUAACAAACUAAAUAUACAAAUAAAAGAGAAAAUAGACAUAAACUACAUAGGUACAACUAGAAAACUACUCUAAAUUUUAAAAAAAUUCAGUCAAUUUUUUUUCUGAGAUGCAGGCCAUGGGCAACGAGAAUCACACACCUUCUAACAGGUCCUCUGAAAUAAUACAACAGUCAGCAUCAACUGCUAUGUUUACUCCUAAAAAUAUUUGCAAUGUUGUAGUAUCCAAGAAUGCCACACUUGCACACCAAAAUCGAAAGCGGGCACUUGAACAAAAACGUUUGCUAACCAGAGGUAACUGAGCCAAAAAAAAAUUUGAAACCAAGUUCAUAGUAUUUUAACGUCAUAGUCUUUGAUUUAAUUAAUUGCUGCGCAGGACCUAGACAUAGCAUUAACACACCCAUGACCAGUGUUUAUUUCUCUUCAGAAUAUAUAAAUGCCCUUAAAGGUAUUGGAAUAGUAUUCUUAAAAACUUUACACUUUUUUAUUUUUCUUCCCAUAACCAACCACCGACAUAUAUUGUAACAAAUGCAUCUUACAGCUUCAUAUCGAGAUAGGUCCCAUCUUGGAACACCAGACUAUGAAUGCCAACAUUGCCAUGCUUUAUUUUGGCAUGCGGAACACAAUUCCAGUAAUAGAUAUGGAAUUGUCCAAUAUUAUAAUUGUUGCAAGGGUGGAAAGCUAUCAAUUCCUUCUUACACACCUAGACCUGAGCCAUUAGCAUCAUUGUCUAAGUUCCACGGUGAUUCAAUAUCAAAAAGAUUUAUGAGAAGCAUACGCCAGUACAAUUGUUUAUUUGCUUUUACAUCCAUGGGUGCACAAAUCGAUAAUACUAUGAAUGAUGGUCGUGGUCCUCCACUUUUCAAAAUAUGUGGCCAGGUUCAUCACCGAAUUGGUUCUCUUUUACCAAGUGAUGGCUCAUCUCCAAAAUAUUUACAACUUUACAUAUAUGAUACUGCAAAUGAAGUGCAAAACAGAUUAAAAUGUCUCAAUUCAAACAAUAUGACCGCUGAAGUUCUUGAUCCUUCGAUUAUAGAGGAACUCAUGAAAAUGCUAGAUGAAUGCAAUCCAUUUGCUAAAACGUUUAGAAUGGCCAGGGAUCGUAUGGCUGAAUAUGGUGACGAAAAUUUCAUUAUUAGAAUAAUAGGUGCAAAAGAAGGUGACUCGGUUCAAUACAAUCUACCAACAACUGAUGAACUUGCAUUGUUAGUUGUUGGGGAUUUCUCUUUGGAUACAUUUAAGCGAGAUAUCAUCAUUGAAACACAUAGCCGAGAAUUAAAACGUAUUUCCUCUUUGCACCCGGCAUAUAUGGCAUUGCAAUAUCCCCUUUUAUUCCCUUUUGGUGAACGAGGGUUUCAAGUUGGUGUUCUAUAUAAUGGAGUAAAUCUGGCUAACAAACCAAAACGUUGCCACAUGACUAUGCAAGAAUAUUAUUGCUACCAAUUUCACUAUAGAAGAAAUCAGCCAAACCCCUUUUUAUGCUAUGGAUUGCUAUCAAGCCAAGCAAAGGUUGAUGCGCGCGCAGCUAUCGAUGAAUCUCGCCUUCAAUAUAUUGUUCAAAAUCAAACAAAACUUAGAAUGGAAAGUAUUCAAGGAAUAUCUGAUGCUGUUAGUCGUGGCUGUAUAAACGGUGAAGAAAUGGGAAAAAGAGUAAUUCUUCUAGCUUCACAUGUCGGAGGACGACGAUAUAUGCUUCAAAAUUAUCAUGAUGGCUUAGCUAUUUGUAAAUUAU